AAAUAUUAAGACAAAGUUCCAUCUUUUUUGUUUUUAGUUUGGUCAGAUGAAAACUGAUGUCAUGGGUACCCUGAGAACAUUACUGAUAAUCGUUACUAUUCUGCAUGGAACGAGUAGUCAAGAUUCAGUUUUUCAGAGCCCACCUCAUUUAUCGGCAGAGGAAGGACAAAUGGUAAUGUUGAACUGUAGUUACGAAUCGUCGGGUGCUCCUAUUCUCUUCUGGUACGUCCAGUAUCCUGGGGAAGCUCCGAGAUAUUUACUGAAGAGGUACAAGAAUGAAGACGCGGACAGCUCACCAGAUUUCCAUGACCGGUUUUCUGCCAAUUUGGACAAAGUCAAUAAAGUGGUUCCUUUGAGAAUUAAUGAAAUCCGUCUGUCUGACUCAGCCAUCUAUCACUGUGCUAUGAGUAACACACUGAUACAGAGACCCAGACAGCCCGAACAAAAACCUGAAAGGCUCUCUUCCCUCCCUUGUCUGUAUCAGAUCUAUAACUUUUACUACGAAUUGUUAAUAUGA